rnacentral:misc_RNA from 1 species
AAGUCGUAACAAGGUCUCCGUUGGUGAACCAGCGGAGGGAUCAUUACGAGAGUGUCACCACUCCCAACCCAUUGUUUACCUACCCGUCCACCGUGCUUCGGCAGGCAGCCCUGUGGGACAGAGCCUCGCCCCCCUUCCGGGGGGUGCCUGCCGCUGGCCAACCAUACAUUCUAGUUAUUUGAGUACCAUCUGAGUCUUCCACAAAUGAACAAAACUUUCAACAACGGAUCUCUUGGUUCUG